UUCAACCAAGACCAGCCUGCCAACAACCGUUGAAGCCUUAGUCAUCUAUAUAGACAUGGACAUGGAGAAGUGCCCGAAGCGUGCCCAAGCACUAUUGUUCGUUCUUAUUAUAUGCUUUGCGACCCAAACACAAUGUAGAGAACUAGGCGCGCAUGACAUCCAUCACGGGUGCUACAGGGGUCCAUCUGGAUGCAUUAUCUGCCCCCCUCUAGAUGUCUGCUUCAAAACAAUGGAGGACUGCCAAGCCCACUGCUCAGGACCUCGGUCCACGGUCGCCUCCUCCACAUUUCCUCAUUAGCUUGAAAAAAUGUACGGGGUGUGCGUUAUGUGUUGAUGAAUAAAGAAGCAUGAAUGAGUACGAGACGGUAA